AAAUAAAAUGAAAUAAAAUAAGGUAAAAUAAGAUAAAUGAACUAAAGUCUGCUGGUGUGUCUCCGGGCCAUGGAUGUGCAGGAUCCCGAUCGUUAGAAGUUUGCGGAUGGGUUGCCUGGAGAUUUGGUUACAAUCAGGUUCAUUAUUAUUAUUUUUUUUCCUCCUGAAACAAGUGAAGGCGAUGGUUACUGCUGUCAAUCUUGGCAAUCAAUGUGAGCGGCCAUGUCGUAAGUAUUCAAAGCAUUUCCCGUCGUGCAACAUCAGAAAGUGAGUGGCCAGGGCAUUGAUCUGAGGAAGGCAAAAGGAGGCAGGGCUCCCCCGCCCAGACAGCACAGGCAAGAUGAGACAACAGAGAGAGAGAGAGAGAGAGAGAGGGAGAGGGAAGGAGAGAGAGAGGGAGAGGGAGACUGAGAACGAGCGAGCGGGGAAAGCAACAACUGAAGAGAAAGUGAGCACAAAACAGAAAGUGAAAUCACCCCAGGCUGCCAGCCGCAUCCCCGAGAAGCUAUCACCACUCACAUUGCUAUUAGACAAAUGAAACCCUAAACCUCUCUACUCUAAUGACCACUGAUUGCCCGGAGUGGUGAGGAAAGGCAAAGACAGCCACGGAAGCCAGCGCAGCCAGAUGUUGAGGAGGGAUGCUGCACUGCUGUGGGUCCUUGCAGAGGGAAGGAAUCAGUGGCUCUCAGUUCACAUUGGGGCACUUACCUGUUCACAGCUGUCACUGCAUUUUGCACUCUCUCUCUCCGUAAAUACAUUAACAUAAAGCAGCGUUCAACAAGCAAUGCAACCUGUGUGUUAAGUUUUACACCACGCAUCUUUAAGACGAGCAAAUCUACAGGUCCUGCAGAGUUGGUAGAACAGUCUCUGAAGUUUUGAUUCAUAGAGCAAGAAAUUCCACAUUACAAGCCAUUCACAAGUCAUUCUCCCCAAUUAAUGCCGAACAACUAACAGGCAUCUUUAUAAAUUCACUCUGCUGACACUCUCCGACAAUGAAAACUUUUUAUAGGCUCUCUGAAAAUGUUCAGAGAAACUUUUGCAAAAUGAUCAACUGCAUUUGAGAGAAAGCUAAAGGAAAAGAAGUUAAAACCUGAUCACCCGAUAGGAAAGAAAGUUUGGUUAGACUAGAUAAAAGUAUAUUACUGCACAUUUCUUCACAAGCAAACCUAUCAGCUGAUGCGAGUCCCCCUAGAACAAGAACCUCUGGCGAUUUCCUCAAAAUUUAGGGGACGUUUGCAUUUUAUUGCACCCAAAGCAAAAGAUCUGACUGAAAACAAAAACUCUGAAUUCCUUAGAACGUCAUCUGCCACCACAAACGUAUUAUCCUGGCGGAAACAGUAUCAGAGAAAAGGUUUUAAUUUCAUUUGAAACUGUGCAUCAUCUUGACAGAGAAGCAAAAAGCCGCAGCAACAACAAUCUCCCCACUCCACCCCCCGUUCAAAAAAAAAAAAAAAAGGAAAAACCACAUAAACUUUUACAAAGAAAAUAACAGCAAGUUUGACAUGAAAACCCCUUCCUGUCUCGGAAAGUUCAUUUUAAAGGUCCCCUCUGUAAAUCUAAAGUGCAAACACCAGGCUAAGGUAGUGAGUGGCUGGAAUUUGCAUGCUGAUAAGAGAAGGCUGUUGUACUUACAGUGACAGAGGGCAGGCUGCGGAAGAAAAGCUGUUUGUGUUAGCCUGAGAGUCACCCAGGGCUGCAAUGAGAGGAGAAGAGAGGAGUGGGAGUGCCAAGCUGGAUACACCUUCACCGCAUCUCAUCACAUCUGCCAGCCUCUCUCUCCCUCUCUCUUUCAUUUCCACAUUCCCUUUGUUCCUGAAAAAAAAAAUCUACACGUCACAUCAGUCCCCAGAUGCAGUCUACACCAAAGAAAAAAAUGAAUAAUUCAAUCAAACUGUGCAUAGUCUCUAAGGCAAUAAAUCUAUUGCACUUAAAGAAACGAAGGGUAAUUACCGCUAUAGAAUUAGAAUAAGGCCAGAGAGCGCAGGGAUCCCAGGGUCUGCAAACUCCACGGUCAAAUAAAGUUUCAUUUAUUUAAUCCUUCGACAAACCCAGUGUAAACUAAAGGGGAGGAUCACAACUUAUUCCAGAUGGGUUUGAGAAUGCUUGAAGUGAAUGUUAUAAAAGCAGAGCACCCGUGAUCUGUAAUAAAUACAAUGCAAGGAAGUAGAAGUGUUUCACUGCAUCACCUCCAGGGUCCGUUCCCCCCUCCCUAAUGAAGAGCAGACCACACUCCCACUUUCAUCAGCUUCUGCCGCUCUCUACAAGUGCAACGGGAAUUGCUGGCAGCGAGCAGCAGCCUUACCUGCUCCUAGAUUUCAAAUAAAGCCUUACAAAAACUCAUGAUAACCGGCAAUUCUGUUCCACGUUCUGGCGGAGAGAAACCAUGCGGGAUUUGCACCAGCAAGGAGUGAACAGAAACGUUGUCCCUGACUUCUGGAUUUGUCCUGGGCUGAGUUUAGGGGAAUGCCUGCCGGGGGCGGGGGGAGCACGCUCGGGAGCGGAGCUCAGGCAGGCAGGCGGCGGCAAUGCUGUAACAGAGCCCUGCGACACACCGACCUAGGUAGGAUGGAGGAGAGCCACAGUUUUCCCUCUCCUACCUCUAACGUUGCACGCCCGGCUCGGAGGGUGGUGAAAAAGAGAAAAUUGCCAAGACUUACUGGGUGGCAGGAAGUGGAUUCACUAUAAUCAACAGCAGCAGGGGACUCUUUGAGUCACUCAAAGCCAAUAGCCUGUGACUGAUACCGAAUUAAUAAUCCAGGGGCCCAGUACACGGACAAGAUGGGUGAACCAGAAGAUAUACCAAAGGAACUACUGAGUUUCCACUCUAAACAAACACAAUUCCUUUUGAUAAUCCUGAAGAUGUUGUCUCAUCAUUCAGACUCGCAGCAGAAUAACUGAAUUUGGCAGAUAUUUUCUGUGAAAUGUCUUCUCUUUAUCGGUGCUUUUAUGUGUUAGCAAGCGCAAAAGAAAAGGAGGGAAGGGAACCAAGAUACAUAAAGUUAUAUCCUCAUUGCAGUCAAAAUGUUUUUUCACUCAAGUACAAUACUCUAGCAGCGUGUCAUGUACAGUGGUAAAUGAAGAGGCCUCCUCAACCUAAUAUGAUAUAAAAUCCUAGUAGAAGCAAAGCGCUGUAUUUUCUUAUUUUGAUGUAGCUGGUUGACAUCAACUCCAAGUAAGAGACACAUGGUUGGUCUUGACUGGCUACCUGGAUAUAAAAAUUGCCUGUGUCUUGUCUCCACUAGGACUGUACCUUUUAUGAUGUUAAAAAAAAAGUUUUUUUUUUAAACUUCAUAUUGGAGGACAAAGCCUAAUACAACAGUACAGCACACCGGAACAGUGCUAGGUUGAAGGACAUAAUUUCUCCCUUCUUUUGUUUUCUUCAGUCGUUAAACUGGGGCAACAAUUUUUUCCUGUGGUAUGAAUAAUAAAUAGGCUGUUCUGCCAGCCCAGAAAUAAAAGUAAGUGAAGAUAGUCGUCUUUGU